rnacentral:rRNA from 1 species
AUUCAUCUCCGGGGGUAGAGCACUGUUUCGGCAAGGGGGUCAUCCCGACUUACCAACCCGAUGCAAACUGCGAAUACCGGAGAAUGUUAUCACGGGAGACACACGGCGGGUGCUAACGUCCGUCGUGAAGAGGGAAACAACCCAGACCGCCAGCUAAGGUCCCAAAGUCAUGGUUAAGUGGGAAACGAUGUGGGAAGGCCCAGACAGCCAGGAUGUUGGCUUAGAAGCAGCCAUCAUUUAAAGAAAGCGUAAUAGCUCACUGGUCGAGUCGGCCUGCGCGGAAGAUGUAACGGGGCUAAACCAUGCACCGAAGCUGCGGCAGCGACGCUGAUGCGUUGUUGGGUAGGGGAGCGUUCUGUAAGCCUGCGAAGGUGUGCUGUGAGGCAUGCUGGAGGUAUCAGAAGUGCGAAUGCUGACAUAAGUAACGAUAAAGCGGGUGAAAAGCCCGCUCGCCGGAAGACCAAGGGUUCCUGUCCAACGUUAAUCGGGGCAGGGUGAGUCGACCCCUAAGGCGAGGCCGAAAGGCGUAGUCGAUGGGAAACAGGUUAAUAUUCCUGUACUUGGUGUUACUGCGAAGGGGGGACGGAGAAGGCUAUGUUGGCCGGGCGACGGUUGUCCCGGUUUAAGCGUGUAGGCUGGUUUUCCAGGCAAAUCCGGAAAAUCAAGGCUGAGGCGUGAUGACGAGGCACUACGGUGCUGAAGCAACAAAUGCCCUGCUUCCAGGAAAAGCCUCUAAGCAUCAGGUAACAUCAAAUCGUACCCCAAACCGACACAGGUGGUCAGGUAGAGAAUACCAAGGCGCUUGAGAGAACUCGGGUGAAGGAACUAGGCAAAAUGGUGCCGUAACUUCGGGAGAA